rnacentral:rRNA from 1 species
GACGAACGCUGGCGGCGUGCUUAACGCAUGCAAGUCGACCGGAAAGGCCCUGCUUUUGUGGGGUGCUCGAGUGGCGAACGGGUGAGUAACACGUGAGUAACCUGCCCUUGACUUUGGGAUAACUUCAGGAAACUGGGGCUAAUACCGGAUAGGAGCUCCUGCUGCAUGGUGGGGGUUGGAAAGUUUCGGCGGUUGGGGAUGGACUCGCGGCUUAUCAGCUUGUUGGUGGGGUAGUGGCUUACCAAGGCUUUGACGGGUAGCCGGCCUGAGAGGGUGACCGGCCACAUUGGGACUGAGAUACGGCCCAGACUCCUACGGGAGGCAGCAGUGGGGAAUAUUGCACAAUGGGCGGAAGCCUGAUGCAGCAACGCCGCGUGCGGGAUGACGGCCUUCGGGUUGUAAACCGCUUUCGCCUGUGACGAAGCGUGAGUGACGGUAAUGGGUAAAGAAGCACCGGCUAACUACGUG